rnacentral:rRNA from 1 species
GCUAGUUGGUGGGGUAAUGGCCUACCAAGGUUAUGAUGGUUAGCUGGUCUGAGAGGAUGAUCAGCCACACUGGAACUGAAACACGGUCCAGACUCCUACGGGAGGCAGCAGUGAGGAAUAUUGCGCAAUGGGGGCAACCCUGACGCAGCAACGCCGCGUGAGUGAGGAAGGUUUUCGGAUUGUAAAGCUCUGUCGAGCGGAAAGAAAUGCACGAUGGCUAAUAUCCAUCAUGCUUGACGGUACCGCUAGAGGAAGCACCGGCUAACUCCGUGCCAGCAGCCGCGGUAAUACGGGGGGUGCAAGCGUUGUUCGGAAUCAUUGGGCGUAAAGAGCGUGUAGGCGGCUGGACAAGUCAGAUGUGAAAUCCCUGGGCUUAACCCAGGAAGUGCAUUUGAAACUGUCUAGCUGGAGUAAGGGAGAGGAAAGUGGAAUUCCUGGUGUAGAGGUGAAAUUCGUAGAUAUCAGGAGGAACACCGGUGGCGAAGGCGACUUUCUGGCCCUAUACUGACGCUGAGACGCGAAAGCGUGGGUAGCAAACAGGAUUAGAUACCCUGGUAGUCCACGCUGUAAACGAUGUUCACUAGGUGUUGGGGGUAUUGACCCUUUCAGUGCCGCAGCUAACGCAUUA